rnacentral:rRNA from 1 species
GAAUUUUGGACAAUGGGCGAAAGCCUGAUCCAGCAAUGCCGCGUGCAGGAUGAAGGCCUUCGGGUUGUAAACUGCUUUUGUACGGAACGAAAAGCUUUGGGUUAAUACCCUGGAGUCAUGACGGGACCGGAAGAAUAAGCACCGGCUGACGACGUGCCAGCAGCCGCGGUCAUACGUAGGGCGCGAGCGUUAAUCGGAAGUACUGGGCGUAAAGCGUGCGCCGGCGGUUUUGUAAGACAGAGGUGAAAUCCCCGGGCUCAACCUGGGAACUGCCUUUGUGACUGCAAGGCUAGGGUACGGCAGAGGGGGGUGGAACUCCGCGUGUAGCAGUGAAAUGCGUAGAUAUGCGGAGGAACACCGAUGGCGAAGGCAACCCCCUGGGCCUGUACUGACGCUCAUGCACGAAAGCGUGGGGAGCAAAC